AAACGUCCCAAGCUGCCAGACUCAAGCAGAGUGUCAACAUGGUUAAUAUAGGAUUGUAAAAGCGUCUGCGUAUCAAGACAAAGAUUAUGAAAAUGUUUAACUCCGUUCAAACGUUCCAAACAGUCGUGACAAAUCUGCUGCGUUUCCAAAGCAACAAUUCGUCAUACACAUCUUUGAUUUCGUCACUUACACGGAGCUCUGAAGCUUCAUUGAUAAACACAGUUUGAGACUCCUCCGUAGUUGCAAAUAUACGCUUAAAUUGCAAUUGCCCUUCACCAUUAUCAAUCCUGCUACAAGUUCUACAAAUACUUUCCAGAAAUGUUUUGAGAUCAUUGCAAAUAUCCGAGAAUGUCAAAGACAUUUUGCAAACCGAGAAAUAUAUAAAAGUUCUGCAGCAAUCUACUCGUAAAUGAAAAUCGCCCAACAGAUUCUACUAUAAUACAACUAGUGAUGGGAAUAUUUUUAGUUUAUGAGUAACCGGUAUUAGGUUAGUAUGUGUUCGGCAAAUAUUCACAUUUAAUUAUCAACACAAUAAAUUAGUGAGAAAAAUGUA